rnacentral:snRNA from 1 species
CUCCCUUCGGCAGUGAUGCACACUAAAAUUGGAGUGAAGCAGAGAAGACUAGCGUGGCCCCUGUACAAGGAUAACAGGUUUUUAGUCAGCUAGGUCUGCUCUAA